GACAAACGCUGGCGGCGUGCCUAACACAUGCAAGUCGAACGAGAAAGUCGGCUUCGGCCGAUGAGUACAGUGGCGCACGGGUGAGUAACACGUGGGUAAUCUACCUCUCUGAGGGGGAUAACACACCGAAAGGUGUGCUAAUACCGCAUAACACGACAUUAUUUAUUAUGAUGUCGUCAAAGGUGGCGUAAGCUGCCGCUGAGAGAUGAGCCCGCGGACCAUUAGCUAGUUGGUAGGGUAAUGGCCUACCAAGGCGACGAUGGUUAGCUGGUCUGAGAGGAUGUCCAGCCACACUGGAACUGAAACACGGUCCAGACUCCUACGGGUGGCUG
rnacentral:rRNA from 1 species